rnacentral:lncRNA from 1 species
CGCCAUUGUAGGCCCGCCCGCCCUUUCCAGAGCGUCGCUGCGGGAUGGAGAAGCGGGAAGAGGGCGCGAGCGGCUUCAGGAAGGUGACAAGAUGUAAACACUUGAGGGGAUGUGUAUGUGAGACUGUUAACAAAAUACUUCAUCUCCGUUUCAAGGAUGACAAAACUCGAGGUAAGUGCUUCUCCUGUACACUUUCUGUAGAGAGCUAGAUUCCUUUUGCAAAUUACCUAGCUGCCUAUAGCACAUAGUGUAGUUGUAGCUGUGUUGGUCCCAGGGUAUUAGAGGCACAAGGUGGGUGAGGUAAUAUUUUAUUGGAGCAU